AUAGGACAGGACUGCUGCUGCUCACUUUCUGCUGGGCAGGUGUUGAUGGUCAGACUCUGACAGAAUCUGAACCAGUGACUAAAAGGCCUGGAGAAUCUCACAGAUUGACCUGUACA